GUGGAGAGCUGUAAACAUAUGGU
rnacentral:siRNA from 1 species